rnacentral:rRNA from 1 species
UACGGAGGGUCCAAGCGUUAUCCGGAUUUAUUGGGUUUAAAGGGUGCGUAGGCGGAUUGAUAAGUUAGAGGUGAAAUGUCCGAGCUCAACUCGGGAACUGCCUCUAAUACUGUUGAUCUAGAGAGUAGAUGCGGUAGGCGGAAUGUAUGGUGUAGCGGUGAAAUGCUUAGAGAUCAUACAGAACACCGAUUGCGAAGGCAGCUUACCAAUCUAUAUCUGACGUUGAGGCACGAAAGCGUGGGGAGCAAACAGG